GACGAACGCUGGCGGCGUGCUUAACACAUGCAAGUCGAACGGAAAGGCCCUGCUUUUGUGGGGUGCUCGAGUGGCGAACGGGUGAGUAACACGUGAGUAACCUGCCCUUGACUUUGGGAUAACUUCAGGAAACUGGGGCUAAUACCGGAUAGGAGCUCCUGCUGCAUGGUGGGGGUUGGAAAGUUUCGGCGGUUGGGGAUGGACUCGCGGCUUAUCAGCUUGUUGGUGGGGUAGUGGCUUACCAAGGCUUUGACGGGUAGCCGGCCUGAGAGGGUGACCGGCCACAUUGGGACUGAGAUACGGCCCAGACUCCUACGGGAGGCAGCAGUGGGGAAUAUUGCACAAUGGGCGGAAGCCUGAUGCAGCAACGCCGCGUGCGGGAUGACGGCCUUCGGGUUGUAAACCGCUUUCGCCUGGGACGAAGCGUGAGUGACGGUAAUGGGUAAAGAAGCACCGGCUAACUGCG
rnacentral:rRNA from 1 species